rnacentral:lncRNA from 1 species
UUCAGGACCAGUUUAUUACUAGCCCCCAUAGAGAUGUUCAGGACCAGUUUAUUACUAGCCCCCAUAGAGAUGUUCAGGACCAGUUUAUUACUAGCCAUCAUAGAGAUGUUAAGGACCAGUGUAUUAGUAGCCACCAUAGAGAUGUUCAGGACCAGUGUAUUAGUAGCCACCAUAGAUAUGUUCAGGACCAGUUUAUUACUAGCCAUCAUAGAGAUGUUCAGGACCAGUUUAUUAGUAGCCACCAUAGAGAUGUUCAGGACCAGUGUAUUAUUAGCCACCAUAGAGAUGUUCAGGACCAGUUUAUUAGUAGCCAACAUAGAGGUUCAGGACCAGUGUAUUAGUAGCCACCAUAGAGAUGUUCAGGACCAGUUUUUUACUAGACACCAUAGAGAUGUUCAGGACCAGUUUAUUACUAGCCAUCAUAGAGAUGUUCAGGACCAGUUUAUUACUAGCCCUCAUAGAGCUGUUCAGGACCAGUUUAUUACUAGCCACCAUAGAGAUGUUCAGGACCAGUUUAUUACUUGCCAACAUAGAGGUUCAGGACCAGUUUAUUACUAGACCCCAUAGAGAUGUUCAGGACCAGUUUAUUACUAGCCACCAUAGAGAUGUUCAGGACCAGUUUAUUACUAGCCCCCAUAGAGAUGUUCAGGACCAGUUUAUUAUUAGCCAAUAUAGAGAUGUUCAGGAGCAGUUUAUUACUAGCCAACAUAGAGGUUCAGGACCAGUUUAUUUCUAGCCCCAAUAGAGAUGUUCAGGACCAGUUUAUUACUAGCCCCCAUAGAGAUGUUCAGGACCAGUUUAUUACUAGCCAUCAUAGAGAUGUUAAGGACCAGUGUAUUAGUAGCCACCAUAGAGAUGUUUAGGACCAGUGUAUUAGUAGCCACCAUAGAGAUGUUCAGGACCAGUUUAUUACUAGCCCCCAUAGAGAUGUUCAGGACCAGUGUAUUAGUAGCCACCAUAGAGAUGUUCAGGACCAGUUUAUUACUAGCCAUCAUAGAGAUGUUCAGGACCAGUUUAUUAGUAGCCAACAUAGAGGUUCAGGACCAGUGUAUUAGUAGCCACCAUAGAGAUGUUCAGGACCAGUUUAUUACUAGCCCCCAUAGAGAUGUUCAGGACCAGUUUAUUACUAGCCAACAUAGAGAUGUUCAGGAGCAGUUUAUUACUAGCCAACAUAGAGGUUCAGGACCAGUUUAUUACUAG